rnacentral:rRNA from 1 species
UACGUAGGGUGCGAGCGUUGUCCGGAAUUAUUGGGCGUAAAGAGCUUGUAGGCGGUUUGUUGCGUCGGCUGUGAAAACCUGAGGCUCAACCUCAGGCCUGCAGUCGAUACGAGCAGACUAGAGUGUUGCAGGGGAGACUGGAAUUCCUGGUGUAGCGGUGAAAUGCGCAGAUAUCAGGAGGAACACCGGUGGCGAAGGCGGGUCUCUGGGCAACAACUGACGCUGAGGAGCGAAAGCGUGGGGAGCGAACAGG